rnacentral:rRNA from 1 species
UGGGGAAUAUUGGACAAUGGGGGCAACCCUGAUCCAGCCAUGCCGCGUGAGUGAUGAAGGCCUUCGGGUUGUAAAGCUCUUUUGGCGGGGACGAUGAUGACGGUACCCGCAGAAUAAGCCCCGGCUAACUUCGUGCCAGCAGCCGCGGUAAGACGAAGGGGGCUAGCGUUGUUCGGAAUUACUGGGCGUAAAGCGAGUGUAGGUGGUUGUCCAAGUUGGAUGUGAAAGCCUUGAGCUCAACUCAAGAAAUGCAUUCAGGACUGGAUGACUAGAGGACCGGAGAGGAUAGUGGAAUUCCCAGUGUAGUGGUGAAAUACGUAGAGAUUGGGAAGAACACCAGUGGCGAAGGCGGCUAUCUGGACGGUUUCUGACACUAAGACUCGAAAGCGUGGGGAGCAAACAGGAUUAGAUACCCUGGUAGUCCACGCCGUAAACGAUGGGUGCUAGACGUUGGCGAGCUUGCUCGUCAGUGUCGCAGCUAACGCGUUAAGCACCCCGCCUGGGGAGUACGGCCGCAAGGUUG